GAUGAAGAACGCAGCGAAAUGCGAUAAGUAAUGUGAAUUGCAGAAUUCAGUGAAUCAUCGAAUCUUUGAACGCACAUUGCGCCCGCUAGUAUUCUGGCGGGCAUGCCUGUCCGAGCGUCAUUUCAACCCUCAAGCCCCCGGGCUUGGUGUUGGGGAUCGGCGAGCCUCCGCGCCCGCCGUCCCCUAAAUCUAGUGGCGGUCUCGCUGUAGCUUCCUCUGCGUAGUAGCACACCUCGCACUGGGAAACAGCGCGGCCACGCCGUUAAACCCCCAACUUCUGAACGUUUGACCUCGGAUCAGGUAGGAAAACCCGCUGAACUUAAGCAUAUCAAUAAGCGGAGGA
rnacentral:misc_RNA from 1 species